GGCAGCUGCGCAGAGGCAACUAUGAAGGUAGCUAUUAAAAAAAGAGCAAAAUUCUAACCAUUUUUACUCGAGCUGAAUCCAACGGUACCUCCUUAGCAAAACCCUAACUCUAAUCCUCUUCUUUCCCAUUUUCCCUCUCAUAUCCAAAAUCCCGUAAAAUCGCCACUCCAUUCCGGCACCACCAUGAACACAGCUGCUCUCCUCAUCUUCUCACCACCUCCAACGAAUUUCCUCAAUUUUGACAACCUCUCAACACCAAUUCAUCUUGCCAACCUAAAAGUAACAUUAUGUGGCCCAUUAACCCCUAACAUUCUAGGGCCCAUUAACCCCACCGGACCUUGAAAUCUACAAACCGACUUCAGGACCUAGGCAGACGACGGGGGAGACUAGGAUGACUAUGACAUGGAUGAGGUGGAAGAAGUCGAUAAUAAAAAAGACUUCGACGUCUAUUAUUACUCUGCAACUGCCUCACUCCCAUUCCGCAGUCGCAGGUAACGGCGGAGAUGAUGAUAUUGCGAUUGUGGAUAGUAAGAGCUUCAUUUCGACUCAGGGAGGACUUAGAGAAAAUUGUAGAUUUUCGGAUUAAUGAGGAUGAGUUCCAAAAAUUUGUCCUAUUGAUUGCGAAUUUUUCCUAAGGAAACUGCCUGACCGAGAUAAUGAUGUGUAAGAUUUCCACAAGGUAACAUUUUACUUUUUUCAUACUUUUAAUCUUGUUCUUCACUUUGAUUAGGUUACCCUUUCCUUGCUAAGUUAAAUUUUGUUAAUUAUUGC
rnacentral:lncRNA from 1 species